GACGAACGCUGGCGGCGUGCCUAACACAUGCAAGUCGAACGGGGCAAUUCCUUCGGGGAUUGCUUAGUGGCGAACGGGUGAGUAACGCGUGAGAAACCUGCCUUUCAGUGGGGGACAACAGUUGGAAACGACUGCUAAUACCGCAUAAUGUUAUUUGGGGGCAUCCCUGAAUAACCAAAGCUUAAUGUGCUGAAAGAUGGUCUCGCGUCUGAUUAGCUAGAUGGCGGGGUAACGGCCCACCAUGUCGACGAUCAGUAGCCGGUCUGAGAGGAUGAACGGCCACAUGGGGACUUGGAUACGGCCCAGACGCCUACGGGAGGCAGCAGUGGGGAAUAUUUGGCAAUGGGGGAAACCCUGACCCAGCAACGCCGCGUGAAGGAAGAAGGCCUUCGGGUUGUAAACUUCUUUUACCAGGGACGAACACAAUGACGGUACCUGGAGAAAAAGCAACGGCUAACUACGUGCCAGCAGCCGCCGUAAAAC
rnacentral:rRNA from 1 species